rnacentral:lncRNA from 1 species
GGACAAGUGAAAUAGGAAGGGUGACAGUGUAUGAAGCAACUGUGAAGUUUGUGGAAAGAAAUGCCCAUAUGAUUAAAAUGGAAUCAUGCAUGGUUUGAUCUGAUCUAUUUUCUUUGUGGUGUUUUGCUGCAGGUCAAAAACUAGAACAAGUUACCGUGCUUUCAAGUGAACAAGUUAUUUUCAAGGAAGGAAAGUGAGCAGCUACACUGGACUGGAAUCAGGACUUCCGCUUCAGAGGAUGGGGUGAGUAGCUAUUUGAAAUUCAUUUAUC